rnacentral:tRNA from 1 species
GGAGAGAUGGCAGAGUGGUCGAUUGCGACGGUCUUGAAAACCGUUGGGCGGCAACGUCCCGUGGGUUCGAAUCCCACUCUCUCCUCCA